rnacentral:rRNA from 1 species
ACGGGUGAGGAAUGCAUCGGAAUCUACCUCGUUGUGGGGGAUAACGUAGGGAAACUUACGCUAAUACCGCAUACGACCUACGGGUGAAAGUGGGGGACCUUCGGGCCUCACGCGAUGAGAUGAGCCGAUGCCGGAUUAGCUAGUUGGCGGGGUAAAGGCCCACCAAGGCGACGAUCCGUAGCUGGUCUGAGAGGAUGAUCAGCCACACUGGAACUGAGACACGGUCCAGACUCCUACGGGAGGCAGCAGUGGGGAAUAUUGGACAAUGGGCGCAAGCCUGAUCCAGCCAUGCCGCGUGUGUGAAGAAGGCCUUCGGGUUGUAAAGCACUUUUGUUGGGGAAGAAACCGACCGGAUUAAUACUUCGGUUGAAUGACGGUACCCAAAGAAUAAGCACCGGCUAACUUCGUGCCAGCAGCCGCGGUAAUACGAAGGGUGCAAGCGUUACUCGGAAUUACUGGGCGUAAAGCGUGCGUAGGCGGUUUGUUAAGUCUGCUGUGAAAGCCCUGGGCUCAACCUGGGAACUGCAGUGGAUACUGGCAAGCUAGAGUGUGUCAGAGGAUGGUGGAAUUCCCGGUGUAGCGG